ACACGUAGGGGCCUGACGUUGUUCGGAAUCAUUGGGCGUAAAGGGCGCGCAGGCGGCCGUCCAAGUCCGGUGUUAAAUGGUCGGGCUCAACCCGAUCAUGCGCUGGAAAAUGGGCGGCUGGGGUCCCGGAGGGGACGUCGGAAUUCCAGGUGUAGGGGUGAAAUCUGUAGAUAUCUGGAAGAACACCGGUGGCGAAGGCGGACGUCUGGCCAUGUACUGACGCUGAGGCGCGAAGGUGCGGGGAGCGAACAGGUUUAGAUACCCUGGUAGUCCGCGCAGUAAACGAUGCGCACCAGGUGUCGGGCGGCAGCGCCCGGUACCGGAGCUAACGCGAUGAGUGCGCCGCCUGGGGAGUAUGCCCGCAAGGGUGAAACUCAAAUGAAUUGGCGGGG
rnacentral:rRNA from 1 species